rnacentral:rRNA from 1 species
GCUUACGGCCACAACGCCUGGUUCACGCCUGAUCUCGGAAGCUAAGAUAGGUUGGGCCUGGUUAGUACUUGGAUGGGAGACCGCCUGGGAAUACCAGGUGCUGUAAGCU